GAAAGGCGCUGUUUUGCAGGUAUAUGCAUUUUCUCUGAAGGGAUGAAGGGAUGUCAGCUGUUUAUUUAUGCUACCCAACAGAGAGCUAGACUUCAGUGGGUUCUGCUCAUUCUCAUCCCAUGCUCUUUUGUACAUUUGGUUGUUUUUUUUACUUAAAUUUUUCAGUCACAAAAAGAAACCAACUUCAACAAUUUUCCUUUAAGACUUUCGUUAAACUGGUGAAGAACCGAAUUGACCCAAGGCCAGUCUGAGUAGAAAGCAGAAAGGAUGGACAUUUAAUUUCUAAGUUGCCCUGCUUUAUCCAUAUGAGCUUCCAAACUUUGUCUGACAGAACAGGCAGAAUAUAGAAAUGUUGGCAGCCUUUCUUUAAGGUAAGAAUCAAGGGAACAAAACAGAGACUGAUGGUUGCAUUGAGUAAUGCUAAUUGUACUAGUUGCUAAAAUAAGAUGAUAAACACGGCUUAGAUCUGUUAUUUCUGCUAUUCAUUUUCUUUUUGUUUGAAAAUAAUAGUUCAGUAUGGCAACUGUUCUCACACAGUGGGAUGUCGCUUCUGUUAUUAAUGACCGCUCAGAGCAGGAAGCUGAGAGAGGAAUAUUUUAAAUCUAAUUAAGAGAAACUGGAAGAGGCUAAAUUAAUCAUAGGUAGGUCAAACUUUUACAAAUACCAAAGAUUUGUCAGAUCCUGGUCAUUUUGCCUGCUACUAACCCUUUUUCACCAGUAGGGGCGUUAGGAGCUGAAACAUUAGGGUGGUCAGGUGUUUCGCAUGUUGUCAUCAGCUGGAGGACUAUAAGAGGGAGGCGAACCAGUACUUCGACGCCUGAGUGUUUGCCUCUUCGUGGUAUUCAACCUGGCCAAUUUCAUGGUUUUGAGAAGUUUGCUUCUCUGAGAAGACUGUUUUUUCCCUUGACUAAUAGUCUGUUUUUUUGUCUCAGGUUACCCAAGCCUCGAUCGUUAAGAGAUCUCAGGAGAACUUUCUAACAGUUUAAGGACUCUGGAUUCUCGCUUUUUUCUCCGCUGGCAGCUGGAUUAGACGUUUGCUUCACAGCUUCAGGCGAACCCUGUCCACCCUCCUCCGUACCUCUCAGGACUACCUUGCUCUGAUGGUGCAGUGUUGCUUGCUGCCCCUCCAGGAUCACAACCUCUCUCCCUGGCGGACCUAACUCAACUUGACUCGCUCAGCAGCCUCUGUUUCCAGUACCUGGUUCCGCAUAUAAAGCUUCUGAAACGCUUCUCUGUUUAAUCGUGUUUUUCUGCAUGUGGGUCAAGUCGGCCAUCAACAAGAUUAGAGAUUGGCCACAAAACUCUGAUGGGUGCAUCCCUUCCAGCCAAAGACUGUUAUUUCCUAAUAUUUUUUUAUGUUAAGGGGCUGAAUCCACAUAAAGUCAGGAAAAAAUAAUGUGCCUAUACGGAAUUUCUUUUUCCUAGACAUUUUCUUUCAAAUAUUUAUGUUUUAGGAAGUGAAGCAAACAAAAAAAAAAGACAAAAUAUGAGGGAUUUGAAUUGCACAUUAAAGUUUAAUAAACAAAA